GGGUCGGUGGCGUAGUUGGUUAUCGCAUCUGUCUUACAUAAUGUGUGUUCACAGAAGGUCCCCAGUUCGAGCCUGGGUCGACUCA